UAAUUUUUUGAAAUAUGGGAGGAAGAAAUAAGAGAGACUAGUUGAGAAACUCAAGUUUUGAUUUAUGGUUGAUGCUAAAAGCCUUCAAAUACAUGAGUAUUUGUAGGUACUAGUACUAUUACUACUACUAGUAAUACUACUGCUACUACUAUUACUACUACUACUUUUACUGCUGUUAUUACUGCUACUACUACAACAACAUGCACUACUGCUACUACUAUUAUUUCUAUUACUG
rnacentral:lncRNA from 1 species